rnacentral:rRNA from 1 species
AUUGAACGCUGGCGGAAUGCUUUACACAUGCAGGUCGAGCGGCAGCACGGACUUCGGUCUGGUGGCGAGUGGCGAACGGGUGAGUAAUGUAUCGGAACGUGCCCGGUCGUGGGGGAUAACGUAGUGAAAAUUACGCUAAUACCGCAUACGAUCUAUGGAUGAAAGCGGGGGAUCGCAAGACCUCGCGCGAUUGGAGCGGCCGAUAUCAGAUUAGGUAGUUGGUGGGGUAAAGGCCCACCAAGCCAACGAUCUGUAGCUGGCCUGAGAGGACGACCAGCCAAACUGGAACUGAGACACGGUCCAGACUCCUACGGGAGGCAGCAGUGGGGAAUUUUGGACAAUGGGCGAAAGCCUGAUCCAGCCAUUCCGCGUGCAGGAUGAAGGCCCUCGGGUUGUAAACUGCUUUUGUACAGAACGAAAAGGCUUCUACUAAUACUAGGAGCUCAUGACGGUACUGUAAGAAUAAGCACCGGCUAACUACGUGCCAGCCGCCGCAGUAA